UACGUAGGGGGCAAGCGUUAUCCGGAUUUACUGGGUGUAAAGGGAGCGUAGACGGUUAUGUAAGUCUGGAGUGAAAGCCCGGGGCCCAACCCCGGGACUGCAUUGGAAACUGGCAUGCUGGAGUGCCGGAGGGGCAAGCGGAAUUCCUAGUGUAGCGGUGAAAUGCGUAGAUAUUAGGAGGAACAUCGGUGGCGAAGGCGGCUUACUGGGCUUUUACUGACGCUGAGGCUCGAAAGCGUGGGGAGCAAACAGG
rnacentral:rRNA from 1 species